rnacentral:rRNA from 1 species
UUAAAUUGAAGAGUUUGAUCAUGGCUCAGAUUGAACGCUGGCGGCAGGCCUAACACAUGCAAGUCGAACGGUAACAGGAAGAAGCUUGCUUCUUUGCUGACGAGUGGCGGACGGGUGAGUAAUGUCUGGGAAACUGCCUGAUGGAGGGGGAUAACUACUGGAAACGGUAGCUAAUACCGCAUAACGUCGCAAGACCAAAGAGGGGGACCUUCGGGCCUCUUGCCAUCGGAUGUGCCCAGAUGGGA